rnacentral:rRNA from 1 species
UACGGAGGGUGCAAGCGUUUAAUCGGAAUUACUGGGCGUAAAGCGCACGCAGGUGGCUGAGUCAGUCGAUUGUGAAAGCCCUGGGCUUAACCUGGGAAUUGCAGUCGAUACUACUCAGCUAGAGUAUGGGAGAGGGCAGUGGAAUUCCCGGUGUAGCGGUGAAAUGCGUAGAUAUCGGGAGGAACAUCAGUGGCGAAGGCGGCUGCCUGGCCCAAUACUGACACUCAGGUGCGACAGCGUGGGGAGCAAACAGGG